GACGAACGCUGGCGGCGUGCCUAAUACAUGCAAGUCGAGCGCAGGAAACUGGCGGAACUCUUCGGAGGGGAGGCAGUGGAAUGAGCGGCGGACGGGUGAGUAACACGUAAGGAACCUGCCUCAAGGAUUGGGAUAACUCCGAGAAAUCGGAGCUAAUACCGGAUAGUUCAACGGACCGCAUGGUCCGCUGAUGAAAGGCGCUCCGGCGUCACCUUGAGAUGGCCUUGCGGUGCAUUAGUUAGUUGGUGGGGUAACGGCCCACCAAGGCGACGAUGCAUGGCCGACCUGGGAGGGUGAUCGGCCACACUGGGACUGAGACACGGCCCAGACUCCUACGGGAGGCAGCAGUAGGGAAUCUUACACAAUGGACGAAAGUCUGAUGGAGCAACGCCGCGUGAGUGAUGAAGGUUUUCGGAUCGUAAAACUCUGUUGUAAGGGAAGAACACGUACGAGAGGGAAUGCUCGUACCUUGACGGUACCUUACGAGAAAGCCACGGCUAACUACGUGCCAGCCGCCGCGGUAAAAC
rnacentral:rRNA from 1 species